CCUACGGGGGGCUGCAGUGGGGAAUAUUGGACAAUGGGGGGAACCCUGAUCCAGCCAUGCCGCGUGUGUGAAGAAGGCCCUCGGGUUGUAAAGCACUUUCAGUGAGGAAGAACGCCUGGUGGUUAAUACCCAUCAGGAAAGACAUCACUCACAGAAGAAGCACCGGCUAACUCCGUGCCAGCAGCCGCGGUAAUACGGAGGGUGCGAGCGUUAAUCGGAAUUACUGGGCGUAAAGCGCGCGUAGGUGGCUUGAUAAGCCGGUUGUGAAAGCCACGGGCUCAACCUGGGAACGGCAUCCGGAACUGUCAAGCUAGAGUGCAGGAGAGGAAGGUAGAAUUCCCGGUGUAGCGGUGAAAUGCGUAGAGAUCGGGAGGAAUACCAGUGGCGAAGGCGGCCUUCUGGACUGACACUGACACUGAGGUGCGAAAGCGUGGGUAGCAAACAGGAUUAGAUACCCUUGUAGUC
rnacentral:rRNA from 1 species